UACGUAGGCGGAAAAUUAAGUCAGUAGUGAAAUCCUGCAGCUUAACUGUAGAACUGUCAUUGAUACUGGUUUUCUUGAAUAUAGUUGAGGUAGGCGGAAUGUGUAGUGUAGCGGUGAAAUGCUUAGAUAUUACACAGAACACCGAUUGCGAAGGCAGCUUACUAAGCUAUGAUUGACGCUGAGGUACGAAAGCGUGGGGGGCGAACAGGAUUAGAUACCCUGGUAGUCC
rnacentral:rRNA from 1 species